rnacentral:rRNA from 1 species
UACAGAGGGUGCAAGCGUUAAUCGGAAUUACUGGGCGUAAAGCGUGCGUAGACGGUUAUGUAAGUCAGAUGUGAAAGCCCCGGGCUUAACCUGGGAAUGGCAUUUGAGACUGCAUAGCUAGGGUGCGGAAGAGGGAAGCGGAAUUUCCGGUGUAGCGGUGAAAUGCGCAGAUAUCGGGAGGAACACCAAUGGCGAAGGCAGCUCGCUGGGACGGUACUGACGCUGAGACGCGAAGCGUGGGGAGCGAACGAGGA